AUUUACGGUCAUACUACCCUUUUCCCAGAAACUAAGCAGGGUCAGGCUUUCCCAGGACUUGGAUGGGAGACCGCAUGGGAAUAACAAAAGUGGUGGCCAUUG
rnacentral:rRNA from 1 species